AGUGAACGCUGGCGGUAGGCCUAACACAUGCAAGUCGAACGGCAGCACAGGAGAGCUUGCUCUCUGGGUGGCGAGUGGCGGACGGGUGAGGAAUACAUCGGAAUCUACUUUUUCGUGGGGGAUAACGUAGGGAAACUUACGCUAAUACCGCAUACGACCUACGGGUGAAAGCAGGGGACCUUCGGCCCUUGCGCGAUUGAAUGCGCCGAUGUCGGAUUAGCUAGUUGGCGGGGUAAAGGCCCACCAAGGCGACGAUCCUUAGCUGGGCUGAGAGGGUGAACAGCCACACUGGCGCUGAGACACGGUCCAGACUCCUACGGGAGGCAGCAGUGGGGAAUAUUGGACAAUGGGCGCAAGCCUGAUCCAGCCAUACCGCGUGGGUGAAGAAGGCCUUCGGGUUGUAAAGCCCUUUUGUUGGGAAAGAAAUCCAGCUGGCUAAUACCCGGUUGGGAUGACGGUACCCAAAGAAUAAGCGCCGGCUAACUUCGUGCCAGCCGCCGCCGUAA
rnacentral:rRNA from 1 species